UACGGGGGGAGCAAGCGUUGUUCGGAUUUACUGGGCGUAAAGGGCGCGUAGGCGGCGCAACAAGUCACUUGUGAAAUCUCCGGGCUUAACCCGGAGCGGCCAAGUGAUACUGUCGUGCUAGAGUGCGGAAGGGGCUACUGGAAUUCUCGGUGUAGCGGUGAAUGCGUAGAUAUCGAGAGGAACACCUGCGGCGAAGGCGGGUAGCUGGGCCGACACUGACGCUGAGGCGCGAAAGCCAGGGGAGCGAACAGG
rnacentral:rRNA from 1 species